rnacentral:rRNA from 1 species
AUUGAACGCUGGCGGCAUGCCUUACACAUGCAAGUCGAACGGUAACAGGUUAAGCUGACGAGUGGCGAACGGGUGAGUAAUGUAUCGGAACGUGCCCAGUCGUGGGGGAUAACUGCUCGAAAGAGCAGCUAAUACCGCAUACGACCUGAGGGUGAAAGCGGGGGAUCGCAAGACCUCGCGCGAUUGGAGCGGCCGAUAUCAGAUUAGGUAGUUGGUGGGGUAAAGGCCUACCAAGCCUACGAUCUGUAGCUGGUCUGAGAGGACGACCAGCCACACUGGGACUGAGACACGGCCCAGACUCCUACGGGAGGCAGCAGUGGGGAAUUUUGGACAAUGGACGCAAGUCUGAUCCAGCCAUGCCGCGUGCGGGAAGAAGGCCUUCGGGUUGUAAACCGCUUUUGUCAGGGAAGAAACGCUCUGGGUUAAUACCUCGGGGUAAUGACGGUACCUGAAGAAUAAGCACCGGCUAACUACGUGCCAGCAGCCGCAGUAAAAC